AGCUAGCCUCUCUAAACUCAGCUCGGCUUAUUUAAUUUACAAUCCUAUCCCAAAGGAUAAGCACCGCAAUUUCCAAGUGAGGCUUGCUUCUCUCCUGCCUUGCCCUUGGGUCCGUAAAAAAAUUCAUUUAUUGCAGAAAGGGUGACGCUAGUUCACCCAGGACCAAGCCGCAAAAUCAUCUGUACUAGAACACGAAAGUCUUGGUGUAAAUCUUGAAAUGAUACAUUGGCUGAUAACACCACUACAACAAAGUUUUAAUUAAAAAAAUUUUUAACGUCAUCAUUUUUUGUCCAUUCCCAAUUCCAGAAUUGCAUUGGGGCUUAUCCAUUGCUCUAAAUCAUGUCCACUAAACCACUAUUUCGCCGAUAGUGUCGCACUUACAGCAACAGUUGAGGAGAGCAAGACAAAAGUAGACCACAAUUGUCAUAUUCACUUCACCCCCAUCCCACUUUAUUAACUUGAGCAAUAUCUGAAGUUAGCCAAGUCCCUAAAUGACACCAGAGUUCAAGUUUUCAGGGAAGUUCAGCAAUGCACUCAAUUUCAAUCUUGGCAUCCAUCGGCAAUGCUGCUACCUGGUAUGUUGAGCGGGCGGGAAAUGGUGCAGGAAAGUAUUUUGCAUAGAUCUCAUUCACUUUUUUGAAAUCUUUCAGGUCAGCCAACCUGCACAAAACAACAUAUGAAAAGAAGAAAAGAGCUCAUUCUCCUCCAAAUUUACAGUAUCAAAAGAAAUGUUGCAAAGCAGUGAUUUUUACAUGAUUGUUGUCUUUACAACGAAUGAAUGGUCAGCACCACUAGCUUUUAGUAUUUCACCCAUAUUUUUGAGCACCUGUAAAUUUCAUAAACACAAAUACAUCAAUUAUCAACAAGUUGUAAAGCUCAAAAACUAAAAACCUACCAGUAGCACAUUUGUGCUUUGGCUAAGCUCAAUCAAUGUAAUAAAGCCAAAGUAAAAUGUAAGGCUAGUCAAGAUUUGCUUGUGUACCUGUUCCGUCUGAUCCUCAACACUAUCUGAGAUGAACUUCCCAGUCUGAAUUAGAGUAUCAUAGAUGUAUAAUCAGUACAACAUGGAAAGGGAUUCUAAUAAAUAGAGGAGGAUAAAGUACUUGUUCAAGCAUUAGCAUGGUGUUACAUUUAGAUCUGGCCAUGAGCCAGUUUGGAAUCGAAACUGGUCUGGAACCAUUCAAAACCGGAUUGACCAAAACCAUUAUUACUGGAAUCAGUUGGUUCGAUUCUGGACCAAAUCGGAUUUUUUAAAACAAAUAAAAUUUUGUAAAAAAUAUCAACACUGUUGGAUUUGACCAAAACUGGAACUGGACCCAGGGGUAACCCUUAAGAGCCGAUUCUGGUCCCCCGGAACCUCUGGUUCAGGCCCAAAACCGGCCCUUGGCCAGCCCUAUUUACAUGUACAUGAAAGUGGAGAGACUAAGAAAAAAGAAUAAAAGAACAAAGAUACAUGGAAUGUUGUGUCAUGCAAGUCUUCAAAUGAUAAUGGUAUGUACCUCCGGAAUAAGACCUAGAACACCAGAAACAAAUAUAAGGUUGUUGACUUUGAUUGCUUGAGAAUAUGGUCCCAAUGCUGCUGGAGCCUUGUCUGUCUUAACAGCCUCCUUUUUAGCUGGAAUAAGUAUUUGUUUACCAAUGUUAGGCAUCAAAAUAAUCAGAGCCCAAAGAACACAAAUUUUUUUCUAAUGAGAUGCACAUGCAUGCACGCACCAUUGUUAGAGAUAACAGUCAGCAGAUCUACAUCCUUUUAAUGAAAUAUUACUUGCCCCUAACACGUGCUCUAGGUUAAUCUUUUAUUAUUCAUUUCUAUCAACCCACUUCUUAUUUCUCCUCAUUUCUUUGACCUAUAGCUUUUCCUUUAUCCCUCUUUCUAGAGAUUGAUAAAAUUUCCCCUUCUAAUUUUUUCAUUACAUCUUCAAAUCUACAAUUAAUAAGUCUUAACCCAUAAUUGAUCACACAGCUUGACAUUAUACUUAAAAAAAAGCAUCAAACUAUUUCAGCCGUUAAUACAGUUUUCU
rnacentral:misc_RNA from 1 species